rnacentral:rRNA from 1 species
CAGUCGCCGCGGUAAUACAGAGGGUGCGAGCGUUAAUCGGAUUUACUGGGCGUAAAGCGUGCGUAGGCGGCUUCUUAAGUCGGAUGUGAAAUCCCUGAGCUUAACUUAGGAAUUGCAUUCGAUACUGGGAAGCUAGAGUAUGGGAGAGGAUGGUAGAAUUCCAGGUGUAGCGGUGAAAUGCGUAGAGAUCUGGAGGAAUACCGAUGGCGAAGGCAGCCCCCUGGACAAAGACUGACGCUCAGGUGCGAAAGCGUGGGGAGCAAACAGGAUUAGAUACCCCUGUAGUCCAUGUCUCUUAUAC